rnacentral:rRNA from 1 species
CAAACUUGGUCAUUUAGAGGAAGUAAAAGUCGUAACAAGGUCUCCGAUGGUGAACCAGCGGAGGGAUCAUUACAGAGUUGCAAAACUCCCUAAACCAUUGUGAACGUUACCUAAACCGUUGCUUCGGCGGGCGGCGCCGGGGUUUACCCCCCGGGCGCCCCUGGGCCCCACCGCGGGCGCCCGCCGGAGGUCACCAAACUCUUGAUAAUUUAUGGCCUCUCUGAGUCUUCUGUACUGAAUAAGUCAAAACUUUCAACAACGGAUCUCUUGGUUCUGGCAUCGAUGAAGAACGCAGCGAAAUGCGAUAAGUAAUGUGAAUUGCAGAAUUCAGUGAAUCAUCGAAUCUUUGAACGCACAUUGCGCCCGCCAGUAUUCUGGCGGGCAUGCCUGUUCGAGCGUCAUUUCAACCAUCAAGCCCCGGGCUUGUGUUGGGGACCUGCGGCUGCCGCAGGCCCUGAAAAGCAGUGGCGGUCUCGCUGUCACACCGAGCGUAGUAGCAUACAUCUCGCUCUGGGCGUGCUGCGGGUUCCGGCCGUUAAACCACUUUUUAACCCAAGGCUGACCUCGUAUCUUGUAUGAAGACCCGCUGUUCUUAAGCAUAUCAAUAAGCGGAGGA